UUACUCGGGACGGGGCUUGGCUAGAGCCAUGCGCAUGCGCGUCCCGCUCCGGCGCCGUCCUUGGAGGCCCGCCGGCCGACGCGGUGCCAGCCCCGAGCCACGUAGGUGCGGGCGGCGCCGGAAUGAGGAGCAGUGUGGCUGAUGCUCCGGCGGGUCUGCAACCAGACCUCCGAUUCUCAGACAAAGGGAAUCUGGGUGUCUUGAAGCUGCCUAAAUGAGUGAAACAUGUUGGUGAAAAACAAGGAAACGUAUUCUGCUUUCACAUCUUCUAGUAAAGGUUGAGCAUUGAAUAUUCAAAACUUGGUCUGCCUGACUAUGCCACCCGUGGGAAAAAUCAACAAGAAGCAAUGUAUGUGGUAGAAAGUAAAGGACAGCAAAGGCUAUUGCAAAUGGAGUGGUAGGAAUCAAGCAUAAACAAACCAGAAUGAUGGUAGAGACAAUUAGUGGAGGAUUUUAGAAACUGAAAAACGUGUUAUCAGUAUUGAAGUCAUAAUAUCAACGAAUAGUGUUGGAUACUUGGAGGACCUUGAUGACCUUCAAUUCAUCUACGUUGUCUGAAUGCUGGAGAUUAAAUCAAGUUUUGUGAUUGUUCGAGAAAAUUUAAAGUGUAAGUUUUUAUAUCCUUGCCCUACCAUCUUUCUAGGAAGAAAUUACUUACCUUUCUUUCCUCUCUUUUUCUUUCUUCCUUUUCUUUCCCUUCUCCAUCUCCUCUUCCUCUCUCUUUUUCUCCUUAUCUUCCUCCUCUUAUUUUUUAUGAAGCUACUUGGCCUUCUUUGCUGCUGGGUAGGAAGAAAAACUGGAGAAACUGAAAAUCAGGUG
rnacentral:lncRNA from 1 species